UUCGCCCUUAGAGUUUGAUCCUGGCUCAGGAUGAACGCUAGCUACAGGCUUAACACAUGCAAGUCGAGGGGAAACGACAUCGAGAGCUUGCUUUUGAUGGGCGUCGACCGGCGCACGGGUGAGUAACGCGUAUCCAACCUGCCCACCACUUGGGGAUAACCUUGCGAAAGUAAGACUAAUACCCAAUGACAUCCCACGAAGACAUCUGAAUGGGAUUAAAGAUUUAUCGGUGAUGGAUGGGGAUGCGUCUGAUUAGCUUGUUGGCGGGGUAACGGCCCACCAAGGCAACGAUCAGUAGGGGUUCUGAGAGGAAGGUCCCCCACAUUGGAACUGAGACACGGUCCAAACUCCUACGGGAGGCAGCAGUGAGGAAUAUUGGUCAAUGGGCGAGAGCCUGAACCAGCCAAGUAGCGUGCAGGAUGACGGCCCUAUGGGUUGUAAACUGCUUUUAUAAGGGAAUAAAGUGGGUCACGUGUGACUUUUUGCAUGUACCUUAUGAAUAAGGACCGGCUAAUUCCGUGCCAGCAGCCGCGGUAAUACGGAAGGUCCGGGCGUUAUCCGGAUUUAUUGGGUUUAAAGGGAGCGUAGGCCGGAGAUUAAGCGUGUUGUGAAAUGUAGAGGCUCAACCUCUGCACUGCAGCGCGAACUGGUCUUCUUGAGUACGCACAACGUGGGCGGAAUUCGUGGUGUAGCGGUGAAAUGCUUAGAUAUCACGAAGAACUCCGAUUGCGAAGGCAGCUCACGGGAGCGCAACUGACGCUGAAGCUCGAAAGUGCGGGUAUCGAACAGGAUUAGAUACCCUGGUAGUCCGCACGGUAAACGAUGGAUGCCCGCUGUUGGCCUGAAUAGGUCAGCGGCCAAGCGAAAGCAUUAAGCAUCCCACCUGGGGAGUACGCCGGCAACGGUGAAACUCAAAGGAAUUGAC
rnacentral:rRNA from 1 species